GACGAACGCUGGCGGCGUGCCUAAUACAUGCAAGUCGAGCGGACUGAAUGGGAGCUUGCUCUUGUUCGGUCAGCGGCGGACGGGUGAGUAACACGUGGGCAACCUGCCCGCAAGACCGGGAUAACUCCGGGAAACCGGAGCUAAUACCGGAUAACACCGAAGACCGCAUGGUCUUUGGUUGAAAGGCGGCGCAAGCUGCCACUUGCGGAUGGGCCCGCGGCGCAUUAGCUAGUUGGUGAGGUAACGGCUCACCAAGGCGACGAUGCGUAGCCGGCCUGAGAGGGUGACCGGCCACACUGGGACUGAGACACGGCCCAGACUCCCACGGGAGGCAGCAGUAGGGAAUCUUCCGCAAUGGGCGAAAGCCUGACGGAGCGACGCCGGGUGAGCGAAGAAGGCCUUCGGGUCGUAAAGCUCUGUUGGGAGGGACGAAGGAGCGCCGUUUGAAGAAGGCGGCGCGGUGACGGUACCUCACGAGGAAGCCCCGGCUAACUACGUG
rnacentral:rRNA from 1 species